rnacentral:rRNA from 1 species
UACGUAGGGGGCAAGCGUUGUCCGGAUUUAUUGGGCGUAAAGCGCGCGUAGGCGGUUACUCAAGUCGGAUGUGAAAGCCCUCGGCUUAACUGAGGAAGUGCACCCGAAACUGAGUAGCUAGAGUACUAAAGAGGGUCGCGGAAUUCCCGGUGUAGAGGUGAAAUUCGUAGAUAUCGGGAGGAACACCGGUGGCGAAGGCGGCGACCUGGGUAGAUACUGACGCUGAUGCGCGAAAGCCAGGGGAGCGAACGGG